GAUAUCUAUAUAUUGUACAUCUAUAUUGUACGUUAUGUAACGUACAAUAUAGAUGUACAAUAUAUAGUGUCCA